rnacentral:rRNA from 1 species
GACGAACGCUGGCGGCGUGCUUAACACAUGCAAGUCGAACGGAAAGGCCCUGCUUUUGUGGGGUGCUCGAGUGGCGAAAGGGUGAGUAACACGUGAGUAACCUGCCCUUGACUUUGGGAUAACUUCAGGAAACUGGGGCUAAUACCGGAUAGGAGCUCCUGCUGCAUGGUGGGGGUUGGAAAGUUUCGGCGGUUGGGGAUGGACUCGCGGCUUAUCAGCUUGUUGGUGGGGUAGUGGCUUACCAAGGCUUUGACGGGUAGCCGGCCUGAGAGGGUGACCGGCCACAGUGGGACUGAGAUACGGCCCAGACUCAUACGGGAGGCAGCAGUGGAUAAUAUUGCACAAUGGGCGGAAGCCUGAUGCAGGAACGCCGCGUGCGGGAUGACGGCCUUCGGGUUGUAAACCGCUUUCGCCUGUGACGAAGCGUGAGUGACGGUAAUGGGUAAAGAAGCACCGGCUACUACGUG